GUUUGAAUUUCAGUGCUCCUAAUUAUUUUUUCUUCAUGGAAUAAUUGUAUGCAGAUAUUAAAUAAUCAUAAGCAGUUUUCAACUAUUUGUUUUAAGAUAUUUGUUACUUAACACAAAUGAUGUUGGCAAUCUUGUAUUCUUCUAUUUCUACAUUCUGCAAAAAAAAAUAAAAACUAUACUAGUGUAUAAAAUUCAGAAGUGCAGCUGGUUAUAUUAUCUAAGUAAAUAUGAAUCGCAGUGAGUCACCAUAGUUACCAUUUUGUAAAAUACAUGGGAAGAAGUUUUGCAUUUAAAAACUGAGAGGAGUUGUCAUAUGGGAAAAAUUUCAUAGAGCUGGCCCUUCACGUUCACUGGUUCUUAAAGUAACCACUGACAACUAUUAUUGUCACCACCUUUCAGAGGACAAAAGUCAAAAGAAGUCAGUAAAUUUCCUAAGAUCUAAAGUUAGCAAAUGGCAGAGCCAAGAUUUAGCAAGAGUAAUUCAGAGUGUCUCAGACCUCACGCACAUGCAACCACCUCUGAAGACCUUCUGACCUUAGAAUGACUCCCAGCAAAUUAAGAACUGGAAAUGGAAUGGUUAAGAGCACUGACUGCUCUUUCGGGGGUCCUGAGUUCAAAUCCCAGCAAACACAUGGUGGCUCACAACCAUCUAUGAUGAGAUCUGAUGCCCUCUUCUGGUGUGUCUGAAGAUAGCUACACUGUACUUACAUAUAAUAAAUCAAUCUUAAAACAAAACAAAACUGGAAAUGGGUCCUGGAGGCUGCUUGAUCAUAAUGUGCUUGCCACAGGAGCACAAGGAUCUGACUUAGGCCCCUUGUAGCUACUACACGCAGGAGCUCUACAUGGUAGUAUAUUGCAACAGUCACAGUGCUAGGGCAGUAGAGAAUGGAUGUUCUUUGCUAUCCAUGCAGAAUAGAUGAAUUGCUAAGCUCCAGAUUCAGUGGAAAACCACACCUGAAAAUGUUAGGUGGAGGGGCUGAGAGAUGAUUCAGUUGUUAAGAGCACUUUUUCAGAGGACCCAGCACAUUCAUGGUGGUUCACAAGAGUUCAAAUAACUGCAGCUUCAGAUAAUCUGACUGCCUUUUCUGACUUCCACAGGUUCCAGGCAUGCUCAUGGUGGUACACAGACAUAUAUGCAAACAAAACAUUCAUGCACACAAUUACUUCCCCAAAUGGUGGAAAACAAUUAAGGCAGAUACAUCAGCAUAUAUAUGUCCAUAUAUGUGGAUACAUAUCCAUACAUUAAGACACAUAUAUUUAUAUAUACACAUACAUAUAUAUCCACAUAUGGAUAUACAUAUGCAUAUAUGCCCUAUAUAUGUACACACACAUACCAAAACAAAAUUAAAAACAGAUAUUGAAUUUGGUUUUUAAAAGAACCAUUAAAGAGUUUCAUAGCUUAUUUUCAAAGCAACAGAAACCUAAUGUGUGUGAGUACUUUCUGUUUUCACCAAAGUUUAAGUUCAGAUGCAGGUCCCGGGAGAAGACGUUCAUGUGCUGAUAGCAGCGUUGGUGCAUCAGACAGAGUGUGCUUUAUAUACUUUGAAAAUGUAGCUUCGUCAGUUCAGCACUAACGUGAGUGGAGGAACAGGCAGUUCAAUGGAAUGUUCCGUGUCCUGUGGGAUGUUCUGCAUGAUUCUGCAGUACUGCUAUGAUGAAAGCUGUUACAUCUCCAGUCAAAGAAGGGCAGGAGAGUGUCAGCCUCCUGCCAUGUGUGUUAUUAGCAUUUCUAAAGCAUCCUCACUUGCCUAUAGGUCUAUCCUCAUUAGACAGUUUUAAUCAAGUGUCCCACCAAAGUUACAAGGCAAUAGGGAAAAGUGGAAUCAUGUUAUGGUUGCCCUAGACCCUGGGUCAAACCAAAUUCCAUCCGUAUUCCAACUGCAGCCACUUCAGUGUAAAUAAAGUCUUACUGGGACACAGCCCCUAACUUCUGCAUUGUCUUUGUCUGCUGACAGGUUAUCAGGGAUAAAUUGAACAGUAACAGCAUAGAACAUGUGACCUGCAAACCUAGGAACAUCUGCUAUCUUGCCUUUUAC
rnacentral:lncRNA from 1 species